rnacentral:rRNA from 1 species
UGGGGAAUAUUGGACAAUGGGCGCAAGCCUGAUCCAGCCAUACCGCGUGGGUGAAGAAGGCCUUCGGGUUGUAAAGCCCUUUUGUUGGGAAAGAAAUCCUGUCGGUUAAUAACCGGUAGGGAUGACGGUACCCAAAGAAUAAGCACCGGCUAACUUCGUGCCAGCAGCCGCGGUAAUACGAAGGGUGCAAGCGUUACUCGGAAUUACUGGGCGUAAAGCGUGCGUAGGUGGUUGUUUAAGUCUGCUGUGAAAGCCCUGGGCUCAACCUGGGAAUUGCAGUGGAUACUGGGCGACUAGAGUGUGGUAGAGGAUAGUGGAAUUUCCGGUGUAGCAGUGAAAUGCGUAGAGAUCGGAAGGAACAUCUGUGGCGAAGGCGACUAUCUGGGCCAACACUGACACUGAGGCACGAAAGCGUGGGGAGCAAACAGGAUUAGAUACCCUGGUAGUCCACGCCCUAAACGAUGCGAACUGGAUGUUGGGCACAACUUGGUGCCCAGUAUCGAAG